rfam:Delta proteobacterium ML8_D scaffold_33, whole genome shotgun sequence.
AGCCGGGUCCUGCGCAAUGAAACCCUGCGAACCCCGCCAGGUCCGGAAGGAAGCAACGGCAGUAGGGCCCUUCGUGUGUCGCAGGGGUGCCUGGCUAUC